UACGUAGGCAGCGAGCGUUGUUCGGAAUUACUGGGCGUAAAGAGUGUGUAGGCGGUGCUCCCAGUCUGUUGUGAAAUCUCCCGGCUUAACUGGGAGGGUGCAGCGGAAACUAGAGUGCUAGAGGGUGGGAGAGGUAAGCGGAAUUCCUGGUGUAGCGGUGAAAUGCGUAGAUAUCAGGAGGAACACCUGUGGUGUAGACAGCUUACUGGACCACUUCUGACGCUGAGACGCGAAAGCGUGGGGAGCAAACAGG
rnacentral:rRNA from 1 species